rfam:Dipodomys ordii contig_16255, whole genome shotgun sequence.
GAAGGUGGCUCAGUGGUAGAGCACUUGCCUUGCAUGCAUGAGGCACUGGGUUUGAUUCCUUAGCACUUUUA